rnacentral:rRNA from 1 species
UACGAAGGGUGCAAGCGUUACUCGGAAUUACUGGGCGUAAAGCGUGCGUAGGUGGUUUGUUAAGUCUGUUGUGAAAGCCCCGGGCUCAACCUGGGAAUGGCAAUGGAUACUGGCAGGCUAGAGUGCGGUAGAGGGUAGUGGAAUUCCCGGUGUAGCGGUGAAAUGCGUAGAGAUCGGGAGGAACACCCGUGGCGAAGGCGGCCACCUGGGCCGACCCUGACGCUGAGGCGCGAAGGCGUGGGGAGCGAACGGG